UACGUAGGCAGCGAGCGUUGUUCGGAGUUACUGGGCGUAAAGGGUGUGUAGGCGGUUUUGUAAGUUUGGUGUGAAAUCUCCCGGCUCAACUGGGAGGGUGCGCCGAAUACUGAGGGACUAGAGUACGGGAGAGGAAAGUGGAAUUCCUGGUGUAGCGGUGAAAUGCGUAGAUAUCAGGAGGAACACCGGUGGUGUAGACGGCUUUCUGGACCGUAACUGACGCUGAGACACGAAAGCGUGGGUAGCAAACAGG
rnacentral:rRNA from 1 species